GUGGGGAAUUUUGGACAAUGGGCGCAAGCCUGAUCCAGCAAUGCCGCGUGCAGGAAGAAGGCCUUCGGGUUGUAAACUGCUUUUGUACGGAACGAAACGGUCCUGGUUAAUACCUGGGGCUAAUGACGGUACCGUAAGAAUAAGCACCGGCUAACUACGUGCCAGCAGCCGCGGUAAUACGUAGGGUGCAAGCGUUAAUCGGAAUUACUGGGCGUAAAGCGUUCGCAGGCGGUUUUGUAAGACAGGCGUGAAAUCCCCGGGCUCAACCUGGGAAUUGCGCUUGUGACUGCAAGGCUGGAGUGCGGCAGAGGGGGAUGGAAUUCCGCGUGUAGCAGUGAAAUGCGUAGAUAUGCGGAGGAACACCGAUGGCGAAGGCAAUCCCCUGGGCCUGCACUGACGCUCAUGCACGAAAGCGUGGGGAGCAAACAGGAUUAGAAACCCCUGUAGUCC
rnacentral:rRNA from 1 species